AUGGGUUAGUGGCUCUCAUCCAAAGAUGUGUCUUACGCCAUUUUCUGAGAUCAGGGAAUAAAUCGGUCUGCUUAGCGAUUCGGUUUGUUAGGAUUCUUUUGAGAAUACGUUAGAUUUAAAACAUGGGACGAAAGAAGAAGAAGCAGAUGAAACCAUGGUGCUGGUAUUGCAACAGAGAUUUCGACGAUGAAAAAAUUCUCAUCCAGCACCAGAAGGCAAAACAUUUCAAGUGUCACAUAUGCCAUAAGAAACUGUACACAGGUCCAGGUUUAGCCAUCCAUUGUAUGCAGGUUCAUAAAGAAACUAUAGAUGGCGUUCCCAAUGCGAUACCCGGCAGGACAGACAUAGAAUUGGAAAUCUACGGGAUGGAGGGCAUACCAGAGAAAGACAUGGAGGAGAGACGGAGAGUGCUUGAACAGAAAACACAAGCAGAGAGUCAGAAGAAGAAACAGAACAGCCAGGAGGACUCCGAUGAGUACGAGGAGGACGAGGAGCCGGGCCCCUCUUUCGAGCAGCCCUCCAUGCAGCCCCAGAGCACCUUCAUCCCCCCCAUGACCCAGCCGGGGAUGCCCCCCGUCCACGGAGCCCCGGGCAUGCCCCCGGGGGGCUACCCAGGAAUGCCCCCCAUGAUGCCGGGUGUUCCGCCGAUGAUGCAUGGGAUGCCGCCGGUGAUGCCCGGCAUGCCCCCCGGUAUGAUGCCAAUGGGUGGAAUGAUGCCACCCGGACCUGGAAUGCCCCCGAUGAUGCCAGGCAUGCCACCAGGCAUGCCUCCCCCGGUGGGACAUCGUCCGGGCAUGUCCCCCAUGGCUCAGGCCCCCCCCGUGACGGCUCCAGCCGCGAACAGGCCGGCCAUGCCCGUCGUCACCGCCCCCGCGCCCCAGCCCGCCGUCACUAAGCCGCUGUUCCCCAGCGCUGGACAGAUGGGGACUCAUGCUCCAAGUACAAGUACAUCUUCACCAAGUGCAGACAGUCUGUCAGCAUCUGCUAAGCCCCUGUUCCCUAGCACGGCACAAGCUCAGCAGGCCGUGUCCGGUCCGGUGGGCACAGAUUUCAAGCCUCUGAGCGCGCCCGCCACGUCUUCUGAGACUCCCAAAGCCACAUUCCCCGCUUACACCCAGGCUACCGCCUCGACCACUAACCCCUCCAGUAGCACUGUAUCCAAACCCCCAGCUACUGUGACAAGUAAGCCUCCCACCCUCACUACAACGAGUGCAACCAGUAAGUUGAUCCACCCUGAUGAGGAUAUCUCGCUGGAGGAAAGACGGGCUCAGUUGCCUAGAUACCAGCGGAAUAUUCCCAGGCCGGGACAGGCCCAUAUGGCUGUCCCGCCUGUGGGACCAAUGGGGGCCAUGAUGCCCCCCCAGCAGGGCAUGCCCCCACAGCAGCCUGGGAUGAGGCAUCCCAUGCACGGGCAGUACGGUGGGCCCCCCCAGGGAAUGCCUGGUUACAUGCCUGGGGGAAUGCCUCCGUACGGGCAGGGGCCACCCAUGGUCCCGCCUUUUCAAGGGGGCCCCCCCAGGCCGCCCAUGGGAAUGAGGCCUCCCGUAAUGUCUCAGGGAGGUCGAUACUGAAGCUGAACCGCCGUCUCUCUCAAUAGGCCCUGGAGUAACAUGAACGUGUGCCACCUUAAUCAAGCAAUGCCGUGGGACUGCCUGAGGCAGGGUCUCGGCCUUGUGCUGUACGGUCUGAGGCAAGUCCCACCUUUCCUUCCAUUUCACUCACGUCAAGGGCCUUCACAGCUUUUUGCAGGCUGUUGGAUUGCACCGUCCCCAAACUUGUAGCAAGUUUGGUGAAGGCCCUUGCUUUUUUUUUAAUCAAGUUUAGGAAGUUCGACUAACCCCCGGUGGGCUCUCUUGUUUCCUUUGUGAGCAGUCCUGGAAAAAAAAAACAACAAAAAAAACAUCGCUUUUUAUUUUAAGAUAGACCCCAGGAGUUUGUGCGCAGGACACUGUUUGUGGUCUUCUGUAAAGGUAGGAUACUUCUGCACCCUUCAGGGGCGGGGCGUGACGGGGUGGGUGGGGCGGGGUCUUCGGGGUAAAAUGCAUUCCAGCAUAAAUGCCUUUGUGUUAAGUGGUGACAAAAAGACAGAGAGACCACCGUAGUUGUAGUGACAAGGAAGUAGUUGACAUUGAAGCCUUCUGGAUGGUUUUGAACUUAACGGGCAGUGUUACACCUUACAGCACCAGGCGAUGAAUAAGAUCAUUCUGCAGGUUUUUUUCAGUGCAACCUGUUACUGAAGAAUAAAGAACACCCCCCCCCCCCCCAUGUCAUAGCAGUUUUCAGUGAGGACGUAUGCACCGCAUCUAGUCAGCAUUUAUCAGGAAGCGCUUGCAUUUUCCAGCUCAUACUCUUCAGAGCUGUGGCCACUAAUGUGGUGCCCCCCCCCCCCCCCCACCUUGGGAGCCUUAAAGAGGUAGAAUGUUUCCAUGUGUAUGAGCAUGCCGUCAUUUAUGCUUGCGUGUUUCUCCCUCAUUCACUUCUUACUAAUGUUUAACAUACUCCAUGUUGUGCUGUUACCUUCUGUGUUGAGCGCUAAAAUUUAUAACCUGCUAGCUGAUUUGGGCCUUUGAAUGGGGUUAAAUGCUGACUGGGAAAGGUGUUGUACAUUACCUUAAGUGGACAGUGAAUAUGCAUGAAAAUAAAGCUAAAUGUGUUCAUUUUGAGUGGUCCCAACUAUUCACAAACAACUUGGUAACCUGCCAACUUGGUAACAUGAGACUAUCGAUUACUGAAUCCACCUCUUACUGCCAUUUGUUUCUGUCGACUGUAGCUACAACAUUUCAUCACACUUUUCUCUUGGCUUUAUGCGGGUAUUGAAGGAAAAAUCCCAGAAACCUGGCAUUUAACAGGUUAGUUUGCAGUGUAAGUACCUGUUAUUUCUUAGAAUAGCGUGUGUUCUGUAUAACAAGCCUGUCCUGUGAGCGGUUUGUCCGUUCAUCCCUGCAUUGUCCUCUUGACAUGUUCACAUGAUCGAUUCAAAACGGGGGGGGCGGGAGGGGGAUUGGGGGGGGGGGGGGGUGAGUGAGUCAUUUCCCUGAUCAGUUGACAAUCACUUGCGUCUAAUUUAAGGUUCCCUUUCUGAAGCGUGGCGUGUAUUCUUGGCGUUGACACUGACGAGUAUUGAGGAUGUUGCCCCCCUUGUUCAGAGGGUUUGUGGUUUUAUUCCGUUGCAUGACUCUCCAGUGCCUGUCAUGAGGUAGCUGUAGCUCAGAGGGAGUGCUGUGAUUGCUUCAAGUCACAUGUUUACUGGGUAAGUAAAGGCUCACAUGUUUCAAACUUAAAUUCUUUUAAAACUUUUUUUUUUUUUUUUUUUUAAAGUCUUUAAGAUACCCCUGUAGCUGUUAAACAGAACGAAAAAAGAAAACUGACCACUAUUUAGUAACCACGUUCUCCAUUAGAUGUUCAGAGUUAGAAAGUGGGUCCACUAUUUUAACACAGAGACAUUGACGAAAGAGUAGUGUGAAAGGUUCCCCAUUGAGGUGAGACAAAUGCCCCCGAUUUAUUCCACCAUGGCAGGGAGUACUCUUUUCACAUGGCCUAUGCAGCAGCCAAGCUGAACAGUCCAUUUUAUGGUGGGAAUGUGCAGCGUAUUGGCCGGUUGAUUAAUUUAGGGAUAUAUUCCAAGGCACCUGCGGCCAGUCCAGGGUGUAUUCCUGCCUCUCGCACAAUGCAAGCUUGGGAUAGGCUCCAGAACACCCCCCCCCCCCCAUUACCCUGCUCAGGUUAAGCGGGUAUACAUGGAUGGAUGGAUGGAUUCCAAGAUACACCUGUAUUUCUGAUUAUUUUUUUUCUGAGCUGAAGGCUGUAGUGGCACACCUGUGGACGAGGCACAGCUCUCUUCCUCUGUACCUGCUGGUUACCCGCUGCCCCUUUCAUGUGAUUGGACUGGUCAUCUACCAGAUAAAUCUGCUACGUGCCUGCUUGUUCCUUAAGAGUGCUUUCGUAUCGCGAGCAUUUUAACUGGCCCCGGCUUCUGCUCAUUGGGGCUUACGCGAAAGCUGAGGAAUUGGAGAAGAACUACUAGAGAAGAUUUUGUAAAUGCAUGGACACAGGAAGCACUUGCAGGCUCCUAGUGUAGUCCAAGCUCUUCAGGCAGAUGAUUAGUUUGAAGUUGAACAGCAAAACAGUCAGAUAAAAUAUAUAAUUAUAUAUUCCACAAAUAUGCAUGAAAAUGUACACUUCUAGCAAAUCAUAAAAGUAUAUUUGCAAUUGGAGAGCGAUUGCGUCUGGCUGCACGGGGUUGUAAGAUAUUGGCCUUGUGCUUUCCCACGCAUUGGAAAGUUCCCAGCCAGCAUGAUUUGUUAUUUUGAGGAAAACAUGAAACUCAUUUGAAUUGUGAAAUGGAGUGGCCUGUUCUGAACUAUAGAUCUGUGUGUGGGGGAAAAAGUGACAGGUCUGGCCAAAAACAACAAUUUUUACCAUUUAUUUUAUUUCACAACUUUGAAUUUGAAAGGCAUAUGUGAAAGCACUCUUAAGGACAGUGGUGGUAAAUUCUGUUAAUGAACAAUAAUUUGUACAUGUGUAUGGUCUGUUAUUUGUAAUUUGUUUUUGUGUGGGCUCUAUUUGUUGUGCAUGUAUCAUUUGGUUUUGAGAUUACAUUCAUGAGUGUUCAGUUUAAAUCCUAUCGUGGAGGCAGUGUAACAUUCUAUUUAAAAGAACUAAUGUUAUUAGAGUUGUGCAUUUGUUAUUUUCAGUAGUGUGUCCUAGGAACUCCAGAAUAGGAAAGGGGUCAUAUGUUUAUGGGACACACUUAACUGCUUAAAGGUCACUAGUUAGAAAGGUAAAUGCAACUUGUGAAAUCUUGUAAAAAAAUAUAUUUGCAAAGCAUUUUGUUUCAUGUAUGAUGCAUGUGGUGGGGAAAAAAUGGAGCCAGUCAAGGUUUUAGUCAGUAAUUGGGGAAUGACCCCCUCCCGUGAUAUACACUGUCCUGGGAUGUUUCUGCAAGAGACGCAUUGGAAGAAAGCUGCAGUUCCUUGGAAACUACGGUCUUCCGGCUGUGCGUAGAGGUCCCGUGUUUCCCAGCCGGGAAAAAAACAUUUAAGCUCACACAGCCAAGUCAAAUUACUCAAUGUGUUUCUGUUUGGAAUAUUGAGAAUCGCGAACUGACGAGGUUUGCGAGACCUGGAUUAACAAGGUAGGGUUGUGGCGUUGUUUGAGGUUACGUGCUUACAUGACUCCUGGUGCUGAGUGCUGAGAUCUGUGGAAUAAUCAUUUAAAGCCUGCUGUAUGUAACAUUGGAAGCUGACCUGAUUAUUUAAUAAAUAAGAAAGACUGAACUCUU